rnacentral:rRNA from 1 species
UGAGGAAUUUUGCGCAAUGGGAGCCAUCCUGACGCAGCAACGCCGCGUGGGUGAAGAAGGCCUUCGGGUCGUAAAGCCCUGUCGGGUGGGAAGAACGCUUGGGGGGUGACAAGCCCCCUGGGGUGACGGUACCACCAGAGGAAGCACCGGCUAACUCCGUGCCAGCAGCCGCGGUAAUACGGAGGGUGCGAGCGUUAUUCGGAAUUACUGGGCGUAAAGCGCGUGCAGGCGGCCUGAGCAGUCUGAUGUGAAAGCCCCGGGCUUAACCUGGGAAGUGCAUUGGAAACCAUCGGGCUUGAGAGCUGGAGAGGAAGGGAGAAUUCCCGGUGUAGAGGUGAAAUUCGUAGAGAUCGGGAGGAACACCAGUGGCGAAGGCGCCCUUCUGGACAGCCACUGACGC